AACAAACGCUGGCGGCGUGCCUAAUACAUGCAAGUCGAACGGGGAAAGCUUUCGGGUGAGUACUAGUGGCGCACGGGUGAGGAACGCGUGGAUAAUCUGCCUUAGAGUGGGGGAUAACUAGUCGAAAGAUUAGCUAAUACCGCAUAAGACCACGAGAGCUGCGGCUUUUGAGGUCAAAGGUUUUUCGCUCUAAGAUGAGUCCGCGUAAGAUUAGCUAGUUGGUGAGGUAACGGCUCACCAAGGCGACGAUCUUUAACUGGUCUGAGAGGAUGAUCAGUCACACUGGAACUGAGACGCGGUACAGACGCCUACGGGAGGCAGCAGUAGGGAAUAUUGCACAAUGGAGGAGACUCUGAUGCAGCGACGCCGCGUGAGUGAUGAAGGCCUUCGGGUCGUAAAGCUCUGUCGCAGGGGAAUAACACAAUGAAGGUACCCUGUAAGAAAGGAUCGGCUAACUUCGUG
rnacentral:rRNA from 1 species